UGGGAAGAUUAUUCUUGAAAGCUGCCGUUGUGGUCUGCGUAAAGAAGGUGUUGCUCUUGCUGCUGUUAUGGCAAAUGCAAGUAACAUAUUUUGCAGAGUUGGUACCAAUGAUGACAAACAAAAAUCAGAUUGCCAUAAGGUGCGAUUCUGCCACCGUGAUGGUGAUCUCUUCACAUUGCUUACUGUCUACAGGGAAUGGGAAAGUGUAUCUCCAGAUGAUAGAAAUAAGUGGUGUUGGAACAAUAGCAUCAAUGCCAAAACUAUGCGAAGAUGCAAAGAGACAGUGCAAGAGUUAGAGAACAGUUUAAAAAAUGAAUUUAGCAUCAUUAUACCAACUUACUGGCUUUGGAGUCCUUAUGUUGUCUCAGCGCAUGAUAAAAAUAUGAAGAGAAUUAUACUUUCUUCACUAGCAGAUAAUGUAGCCAUGUACUCUGG
rnacentral:misc_RNA from 1 species